rnacentral:rRNA from 1 species
UACGGAGGGGGCUAGCGUUGUUCGGAAUUACUGGGCGUAAAGCGCACGUAGGCGGCUUUGUAAGUUAGAGGUGAAAGCCCGGGGCUCAACUCCGGAACUGCCUUUAAGACUGCAUCGCUUGAAUCCGGGAGAGGUGAGUGGAAUUCCGAGUGUAGAGGUGAAAUUCGUAGAUAUUCGGAAGAACACCAGUGGCGAAGGCGGCUCACUGGACCGGUAUUGACGCUGAGGUGCGAAAGCGUGGGGAGCGAACAGG